rnacentral:rRNA from 1 species
UACGUAGGGGGCAAGCGUUGUCCGGAUUUAUUGGGCGUAAAGAGCGUGUAGGCGGCUUGGUAGGUCCGCUGUGAAAACUCGAGGCUCAACCUCGAGAUGUCGGCGGAAACCACUUGGCUAGAGUCCGGAAAAGGAGAGUGGAAUUCCUGGUGUAGCGGUGAAAUGCGCAGAUAUCAGGAAGAACACCUAUGGCGAAGGCAGCUCUCUGGGACGGUACUGACGCUGAGACGCGAAAGCGUGGGGAGCGAACAGG